CGUACACGGUGGAUGCCCUGGCAGUCAGAGGCGAUGAAGGACGUGCUAAUCUGCGAUAAGCGCCGGUAAGGUGAUAUGAACCGUUAUAACCGGCGAUUUCCGAAUGGGGAAACCCAGUGUGAUUCGUCACACUAUCAUUAACUGAAUCCAUAGGUUAAUGAGGCGAACCGGGGGAACUGAAACAUCUAAGUACCCCGAGGAAAAGAAAUCAACCGAGAUUCCCCCAGUAGCGGCGAGCGAACGGGGAGGAGCCCAGAGCCUGAAUCAGCAUGUGUGUUAGUGGAAGCGUCUGGAAAGGCGCGCGAUACAGGGUGACAGCCCCGUACACAAAAGCGCAUGUGCUGUGAGCUCGAUGAGUAGGGCGGGACACGUGGUAUCCUGUCUGAAUAUGGGGGGACCAUCCUCCAAGGCUAAAUACUCCUGACUGACCGAUAGUGAACCAGUACCGUGAGGGAAAGGCGAAAAGAACCCCGGCGAGGGGAGUGAAAAAGAACCUGAAACCGUGUACGUACAAGCAGUGGGAGCACCCUUCGGGGUGUGACUGCGUACCUUUUGUAUAAUGGGUCAGCGACUUAUAUUCUGUAGCAAGGUUAACCGUAUAGGGGAGCCGGAGGGAAACCGAGUCUUAACCGGGCGUUAAGUUGCAGGGUAUAGACCCGAAACCCGGUGAUCUAGCCAUGGGCAGGUUGAAGGUUGGGUAACACUAACUGGAGGACCGAACCGACUAAUGUUGAAAAAUUAGCGGAUGACCUGUGGCUGGGGGUGAAAGGCCAAUCAAACCGGGAGAUAGCUGGUUCUCCCCGAAAGCUAUUUAGGUAGCGCCUCGUGAAUUCAUCUCCGGGGGUAGAGCACUGUUUCGGCUAGGGGGCCAUCCCGGCUUACCAACCCGAUGCAAACUGCGAAUACCGGAGAAUGUUAUCACGGGAGACACACGGCGGGUGCUAACGUCCGUCGUGAAGAGGGAAACAACCCAGACCGCCAGCUAAGGUCCCAAAGUCAUGGUUAAGUGGGAAACGAUGUGGGAAGGCCCAGACAGCCAGGAUGUUGGCUUAGAAGCAGCCAUCAUUUAAAGAAAGCGUAAUAGCUCACUGGUCGAGUCGGCCUGCGCGGAAGAUGUAACGGGGCUAAACCAUGCACCGAAGCUGCGGCAGCGAACGUAUCACCCAAGACAACUUUACGGAGUUGACGAUUGACGGAGCGAAGCGACGUCAAAGCGUUCAUUAAAGUCGAGUUGGCUUAGGGAUACGUUCGUUGGGUAGGGGAGCGUUCUGUAAGCCUGUGAAGGUGUGUCGUGAGGCAUGCUGGAGGUAUCAGAAGUGCGAAUGCUGACAUAAGUAACGAUAAAGCGGGUGAAAAGCCCGCUCGCCGGAAGACCAAGGGUUCCUGUCCAACGUUAAUCGGGGCAGGGUGAGUCGACCCCUAAGGCGAGGCCGAAAGGCGUAGUCGAUGGGAAACGGGUUAAUAUUCCCGUACUUGGUGUUACUGCGAAGGGGGGACGGAGAAGGCUAUGUUGGCCGGGCGACGGUUGUCCCGGUUUAAGCGUGUAGGUGUGUGUUCCAGGUAAAUCCGGUUCACUUUAACACUGAGGCGUGACGACGAGGCACUACGGUGCUGAAGCAACAAAUGCCCUGCUUCCAGGAAAAGCCUCUAAGCAUCAGGUAACAUCAAAUCGUACCCCAAACCGACACAGGUGGUCAGGUAGAGAAUACCAAGGCGCUUGAGAGAACUCGGGUGAAGGAACUAGGCAAAAUGGUGCCGUAACUUCGGGAGAAGGCACGCUGACACGUAGGUGAAGUGAUUUACUCAUGGAGCUGAAGUCAGUCGAAGAUACCAGCUGGCUGCAACUGUUUAUUAAAAACACAGCACUGUGCAAACACGAAAGUGGACGUAUACGGUGUGACGCCUGCCCGGUGCCGGAAGGUUAAUUGAUGGGGUCAGCGCAAGCGAAGCUCCUGAUCGAAGCCCCGGUAAACGGCGGCCGUAACUAUAACGGUCCUAAGGUAGCGAAAUUCCUUGUCGGGUAAGUUCCGACCUGCACGAAUGGCGUAAUGAUGGCCAGGCUGUCUCCACCCGAGACUCAGUGAAAUUGAACUCGCUGUGAAGAUGCAGUGUACCCGCGGCAAGACGGAAAGACCCCGUGAACCUUUACUAUAGCUUGACACUGAACAUUGAGCCUUGAUGUGUAGGAUAGGUGGGAGGCUUUGAAGUGUGGACGCCAGUCUGCAUGGAGCCGACCUUGAAAUACCACCCUUUAAUGUUUGAUGUUCUAACGUGGACCCGUAAUCCGGGUUGCGGACAGUGUCUGGUGGGUAGUUUGACUGGGGCGGUCUCCUCCUAAAGAGUAACGGAGGAGCACGAAGGUUGGCUAAUCCUGGUCGGACAUCAGGAGGUUAGUGCAAUGGCAUAAGCCAGCUUGACUGCGAGCGUGACGGCGCGAGCAGGUGCGAAAGCAGGUCAUAGUGAUCCGGUGGUUCUGAAUGGAAGGGCCAUCGCUCAACGGAUAAAAGGUACUCCGGGGAUAACAGGCUGAUACCGCCCAAGAGUUCAUAUCGACGGCGGUGUUUGGCACCUCGAUGUCGGCUCAUCACAUCCUGGGGCUGAAGUAGGUCCCAAGGGUAUGGCUGUUCGCCAUUUAAAGUGGUACGCGAGCUGGGUUUAGAACGUCGUGAGACAGUUCGGUCCCUAUCUGCCGUGGGCGCUGGAGAACUGAGGGGGGCUGCUCCUAGUACGAGAGGACCGGAGUGGACGCAUCACUGGUGUUCGGGUUGUCAUGCCAAUGGCACUGCCCGGUAGCUAAAUGCGGAAGAGAUAAGUGCUGAAAGCAUCUAAGCACGAAACUUGCCCCGAGAUGAGUUCUCCCUGAGACUUAGAGUCUCCUGAAGGAACGUUGAAGACGACGACGUUGAUAGGCCGGGUGUGUAAGCGCAGCGAUGCGUUGAGCUAACCGGUACUAAUGAACCGUGAGGCUUAACCUUACAACGCCGAAGAUGUUUUGGCG
rnacentral:rRNA from 1 species